ensembl:lncRNA
UUUCAGUUUUUACCAGGGCUUCAUUAUCACGUACGAUAGUCUUCAUGCAUCUCAGGUAAUACGCUAAACUGUCUUGAGACCACGAUUAAGUUUUAUGAUCAGCUAGGUGUUUCACAUUCAUAUCCUUCAUUUAACAUUGUGUCCAAAGGUAUCUGCGGGCGAUGCUCUGGACAGAGUGCUGUUGCACUGCCAGGUGACAGCAGGACAGAUGCUUGCUAAACUGCGGACACUCAACAAUGACAAUUUCUUACUUAAAGCAGUGUGUGCAGUGAAUAAUGUGGUGUACGAGCUGUUUAACAGGAAGCUGUAUGAGGGAGCCUUUGCUUUGGCUGUGAUUGUGUGUCAGGAGCUGUGUAAGGACUGCCCACCCUCUCUUCCUGUGGAUAGGGUCAACCGCUGUUUCAUGCUGACAGUGCAGUGUAGCCGGCGUGGGGGUCAUCUGGAGCGUGCUCUAGACUGGAUUGUGCGCUGGAUUCAGGUUUUGGGAACACAGAUUUUGGAUCAUUUGGCAGAACCUGUCUCGCUGUGGGUCAAAACCAAGUGUGAUGCUGCCCGAGCAGGAGAGGAU